rnacentral:rRNA from 1 species
GACGAACGCUGGCGGCGUGCCUAACACAUGCAAGUCGAACGGAGAAUUAGCAAUAAUUCUUAGUGGCGAACGGGUGAGUAACGCGUAGACAACCUACCCUUUAGAUGGGGACAACACCGCGAAAGUGGUGCUAAUACCGAAUAUUGCUUGAGAAGCGCAUGCUUUUCAAACUAAAGAUGGCCUCUAUAUAUAAGCUAUCGCUAAAGAAUGGGUCUGCGUCUGAUUAGCUAGUUGGUGAGAUAAAAGCUCACCAAGGCAACGAUCAGUAGCCGGUCUGAGAGGAUGAACGGCCACACUGGGACUGAGACACGGCCCAGACUCCUACGGGAGGCAGCAGUGGGGAAUCUGCCGCAAUGGACGAAAGUCUGACGGAGCAACGCCGCGUGAGUGAUGAAGGUUUUCGGAUCGUAAAACUCUGUUGUUAAGGACGAAUGUAUAGAUUGUGAAUAAUGGUUUAUAAUGACGGUACUUAACGAGGAAGCCACGGCUAACUACGUGCCAGCCGCCGCAGUAA